GAUGCAUCCGUUGUCAUAUUAUGUAAAGUCUUGCUUGAGAAUGCUCUGGGCACCUAACUGUGAAAGGAAGAAUAGAAAUUGCAAUAACAAAAUCUUAAUUCUAAUAGAAUACUAUCAAUGCUCUAAUUGGACCACAAUAAUGCUAAAUAACUUAAUCAAAUUCAAAAAAAACCUCAAAGAAAUUUCAAAGAAAUAAUAAGAAAUCUUAAAGAAAUAUUAGAAUAAUCACAAAUAUCUCUCAAAUAUAUCUUAAUUCAAUCUUAAUUUAAUCCUAGUUAAAAUCCUAUUGGACUUCAUUCAAAUUUUAGGCCCAAAUUAAUUAAAUCUUAAAUCCUAAAUAAAUCCUAAUAAAAUCCUAAACCAAACCUUAAUCAAAUCCUAAAUCCAAACUCUAAAUCCUAAAUCCUAAACCAAAUCCCAAACCCUAAUCCAAACCCUAAAUCCUAAACCAAUUCCUAACUAAAUCCUAAAUCCUAAAUCAAACCUUAAAUAAAAUCCUAAUCAAAUCUUAAAUCCUAAAUUAAAUCCUAACCAAAUCCUAAAUCCUAAAUCAAACCCUAAUCCAAAUCCUAAACCCUAAAUCCUACAUCAAAUCCUAAUUCAAAUCCUAAAUUCUAAACC
rnacentral:lncRNA from 1 species